rnacentral:rRNA from 1 species
ACUCCUGCGGGAGGCAGCAGUGGGGAAUAUUGGACAAUGGGCGCAAGCCUGAUCCAGCCAUGCCGCGUGAGUGAUGAAGGCCCUAGGGUUGUAAAGCUCUUUCACCGGUGAAGAUAAUGACGGUAACCGGAGAAGAAGCCCCGGCUAACUUCGUGCCAGCAGCCGCGGUAAUACGAAGGGGGCUAGCGUUGUUCGGAUUUACUGGGCGUAAAGCGCACGUAGGCGGACUAUUAAGUCAGGGGUGAAAUCCCGGGGCUCAACCCCGGAACUGCCUUUGAUACUGGUAGUCUUGAGUUCGAGAGAGGUGAGUGGAAUUCCGAGUGUAGAGGUGAAAUUCGUAGAUAUUCGGAGGAACACCAGUGGCGAAGGCGGCUCACUGGCUCGAUACUGACGCUGAGGUGCGAAAGCGUGGGGAGCAAACAGGAUUAGAAACCCGUGUAGUCCCAUG